CACGUAGGGUGCGAGCGUUGUCCGGAAUUAUUGGGCUUAAAGGGUGCGUAGGCUGUGCAGUAAGUUGGGUGUGAAAUCCCUCGGCUCAACCGAGGAACUGCGCCGAAUACUGCUGUGCUAGAGGGAGAUAGGGGUAAGCGGAACUGAUGGUGGAGCGGUGAAAUGCGUUGAUAUCAUCAGGAACACCGGUGGCGAAGGCGGCUUACUGGAUCUCUUCUGACGCUGAUGCACGAAAGCUAGGGGAGCGAACGGG
rnacentral:rRNA from 1 species